GACGGAGGAUGCAAGUGUUAUCCGGAAUCACUGGGCGUAAAGCGUCUGUAGGUGGUUCGAAAAGUCCACUGUUAAAAAUUGAGGCUUAACUUCAAAGAUGCCGUGGAAACUUUCAAACUAGAGUAUGGUAGGGGUAGAGGGAAUUUCCAGUGGAGCGGUGAAAUGCGUAGAUAUUGGAAAGACCACCGAUGGCGAAGGCACUCUACUGGGCCACCACUGACACUGAGAGACGAAAGCUAGGGGAGCAAAUGGG
rnacentral:rRNA from 1 species